rnacentral:lncRNA from 1 species
CUGGUGGGAUGCAGCCCUGCUGAAGCCCCAGAGCUCAGUCCAGUGCUGGGCACAUAGUAGGCGCUCAGGAAAUGAUUGCUGAAUGUGGAAUGAAAGUCCCCAGCAGGCAAAAGCCUGUGACUUCUGUUAGUGGGGCGGUGGUCCUCUGGGGCAAGUGCAUGGAGAACUUCAAGGCCUCGUCCUGGCUGCCCAGGAAGUAGAGGGCGCCAAAGGCGACGUGCCGGCGGCCAGCUCCAGGCCGAGCCCCGAGCGCCUGCAGGAACAGGCCCCUUCACCCGGCGCGGGACGCAGAGCAGCGCGAGAAUGUUGUUUCAGUGCGGACUCAACGCCAGGGCGCCGCCUAGAGGUUGGUCUCUGUCUCGUCCUCACCCGCCGGGAGACCACAGAGCUGCUUCACCAGCCGCCCGCCGCCAGAAAUUGAAAAAACAAAUAAAAAUA